CAGGGGAUCUUGGGCAAUGGGCGAAAGCCUGACCCAGCGACACCGCGUGGGGGAAGAAGGCCUUCGGGUCGUAAACCCCUUUUCCGGGGGACGAGCAAGGACGGUACCCCGGGAAGAAGCCCCGGCUAACUACGUGCCAGCAGCCGCGGUAAGACGUAGGGGGCGAGCGUUACCCGGAAUUACUGGGCGUAAAGGGCGUGUAGGUGGCCCGAGAGGUCGUUGGUGAAAGACCCCGGCUCAACCGGGGGGCGGCUGACGAUACCGUCGGGCUAGAGGACAGCAGAGGCGGGUGGAAUUCCCGGUGGAGCGGUGAAAUGCGUAGAUAUCGGGAGGAACACCAGUGGCGAAGGCGGCCCGCUGGGCUGGUCCUGACGCUGAGGCGCGAAAGCGUGGGGAGCGAACCGG
rnacentral:rRNA from 1 species